CGUAAAGCGCACGCAGGCGGUCAAUUAAGUCAGAUGUGAAAGCCCCGAGCUUAACUUGGGAAUUGCAUCUGAAACUGGUUGGCUAGAGUCUUGUAGAGGGGGGUAGAAUUCCAUGUGUAGCGGUGAAAUGCGUAGAGAUGUGGAGGAAUACCGGUGGCGAAGGCGGCCCCCUGGACAAAGACUGACGCUCAGGUGCGAAAGCGUGGGGAGCAAACAGGAUUAGAUA
rnacentral:rRNA from 1 species